AGCAAUACCUUAGUUAUCGUGGAAACAGUGCUGCUUUAAAAUAAUGACUGUUACUGGGGGAAAAAAACUGCAUAACACUGCAAUGGCUUCACUGCAGGACACCAGGUUGUAAUCUAUGGAUUACAAAGCUUCAAGAGAUUUAAGAAAUGGAAGUGUUAAUGGCAAGUGUUAGACAGAAAAUGAUUAAAGGGGGAGAGAUGGACACCUAUGGAAACCCUGCUUGGAAAAGCAAAACCUUUACUUAAGUGACAAACAUCUGAAAGCAUUUUAACGGACAAGUGCCUUACAAAACUGCGACCACCUGUGAUACAGAUUGUUGAUUCAUUACUUCAGAGGCAUUUGUGGCUGGUAGAAGACAGAAGAGUGUUAGCAGAUCUUCCUGAUAUUCCAGUUGGUGGUAAAGACUGGGAGAUCAGAAAUUCCUCAGCUUGGUUGAAAGGAAAGGAAAUUUGAAUUUGGAGGAGAAAUUUGGGUCUGGAACCAAAGCAGCACUGGACACAGGAAGGAGCACUUGGCUAAGAUAAGGACUGAAAGCAAAGUGGCAACAGCUGUUGAGGAAAGGUGACUCAAGAAGAACAGUGAUAGACAAGGAGGCCCAGGAUCUAAUCAGAGUCAAACUAUGACUUUCAAUGCUGAAACCUCCAGCAGUCUCCACUGGACCAAAGCAAGGUUUCUGGACAGAAGUAACGUUCAUGAAGACAGUUUAAGAUGGGUGAGCACCACUUGAAGACUAUGGCCUGUGGGUAGUGAAAGCAUGGUUUGGCCAGAGCCUGUUACUUCAAUGAGAAGGUAGUAAAAGUAGAAGAGCCACUUGCUACCUGUUUCUGCUUCCCCACUCCAAACAUAUGGACAGAUGUUGGUGAGGAUACUUCAGUGCAUCUCUAGAGCCACUCUCAAGACUUCAGUGAGAUGCCCUUGAAGAGCUUCUCCAGUGGAUGGAGCGCACUCAGGAACAUCUGUGCCAGGACACUGCCACUGCAUUGUAGAUGUACACAGGGAGUCAAGACUCCUACAGCCCUGACAGCUGUGAAAGAGGGGACUGUGAAAUGCCUACUGAGUAGAGUUGGCUGAAAUUUUUUCAAAUGAAAAGGCCUUUUGCUCCUUGAAAGUCUCAAAGAAACAUCAAU